UACAGAGGUCUCAAGCGUUGUUCGGAUUCAUUGGGCGUAAAGGGUGCGUAGGUGGCGCUGUAAGUCGGUGGUGAAAUCCUGGAGCUCAACUCCAGAACUGCCUUCGAUACUGGGAGUCUCGAGUCCGGGAGAGGUGAGUGGAACUGCGAGUGUAGAGGUGAAAUUCGUAGAUAUUCGCAAGAACACCAGUGGCGAAGGCG
rnacentral:rRNA from 1 species